ensembl:lncRNA
UUCCGAUGUCAGAAUGGUUCAGAUAAUAACUACAGAAGGAAGCCAACAUUAGCAUGAGCUUUGGUUGCGAAUGGUAUGAACCUUGAACUCUUAUUCAUUACAGAAGUGAUACCUCCUAGCCGUUGAGUCAGCAACAGCAGCUGCAAACGAGGGUUAGGAAGGAACAGACAGAGUAUUCCGUCUACCACACAACGACGUUACUACAACGUAUCCAAUUUACCAGCAGAGACAUUCUUCAAAGGACAAAGGACUCGAUUUGGCAACACGGCCUUCCAUCUUCCACCAACCUACCGAAGCACAGCUCAGAGGCUGGAUCUGAUGUGGGAUGAAUCUAGAGAUCAGGAUUCUGGUGUUCCUGCCAGUAUCGUAUUCAUGCUACCAGCUGGAUCCCACCAGAUGUGUCUAUAACAAAUCAUAAACACAGCCAUUGACUGCUGGUUCAGAUUCAUAAACCUAGCAAUUGACUGCUGGUUGACUGCUGCUCAGAUCCCUAUAGUGGAGGGAUUAACUG